AGUGAACGCUGGCGGCGGGCCUAAUACAUGCAAGUCGAGCGAACAGACGAGGAGCGUGCUCCUCUGACGUUAGCGGCGGACGGGUGAGUAACACGUGGAUAACCUACCUAUAAGACUUGGAUAACUUCGUGAAACCGGAGCUAAUACCGGAUAAUAUAUUGAACCGCAUGGUUCAAUAGUGAAAGACGGUUUUGCUGUCACUUAUAGAUGGAUCCGCGCCGCAUUAGCUAGUUGGUAAGGUAACGGCUUACCAAGGCAACGAUGCGUAGCCGACCUGAGAGGGUGAUCGGCCACACUGGAACUGAGACACGGUCCAGACUCCUACGGGAGGCAGCAGUAGGGAAUCUUCCGCAAUGGGCGCAAGCCUGACGGAGCCACGCCGCGUGAGUGAUGAAGGUCUUCGGAUUGUAAAACUCUGUUAUUAGGGAAGAAAAACUGUGUAAGUAACUCUGCACGUUUUGACGGUACCCAAUCAGAAAGCAACGGCUAACUACGUG
rnacentral:rRNA from 1 species